CGUAGGUGGCAAGCGUUGUCCGGAUUUAUUGGGCGUAAAGCGCGCGCAGGCGGCUAUGUAAGUCUGGUGUUAAAGCCCGGAGCUCAACUCCGGUUCGCAUCGGAAACUGUGUAGCUUGAGUGAAGAAGAGGAAAGCGGUAUUCCACGUGUAGCGGUGAAAUGCGUAGAGAUGUGGAGGAACACCAGUGGCGAAGGCGGCUUUCUGGUCUGUAACUGACGCUGAGGCGCGAAAGCGUGGGAGCAAACAGGAUU
rnacentral:rRNA from 1 species